rfam:Anopheles sinensis unplaced genomic scaffold AS2_scf7180000696058, whole genome shotgun sequence.
GAUGUUAAGUAGGCACUUGCAGGCAAAAUGAAAUUCCAAUAGUUGACUGCUUUUUCCUACUUUACAUU